GUGUGUACUCAAAAAAACACAUGUAUGAUGAUCCUGAACUUACUGAGAUGAAGAAAAAAGCAAACAUACGAAGUUUGAAGGAGAUGGCCGUGAUUUUGAGGGAUGGUUCACAAAUAGUGUGGAUUGCCCCAAGUGGUGGUAGGGACCGCCCAGAUCCUCUGACUGGAGAAUGGNNNNNNNNUUUGAAGCUGCUUCAGUGGACAACAUGAGAAGGCUUGCUGAACAUUCUGGUGCUCCAGGACAUAUUUAUCCCUUAGCAUUAUUAUGCCAUGACAUCAUGCCCCCUCCACUGCAGGUGGAAAAAGAGAUCGGAGAGAAAAGAGUGAUCUCCUUUCAUGGGGCUGGAUUGUCAAUUGCACCGGAAAUCGGAUUUUCUGAAAUUGCUGCUGCUUGUGAAAACCCUGAAGAGGCUAAGAAGGCAUAUGCACAGGUUCUAUAUGAUUCUGUGACUGAGCAAUACAAUGUGCUUAAAUCUGCC
rnacentral:misc_RNA from 1 species